rnacentral:lncRNA from 1 species
UUAGCCUUUGCUUAUGCAAAGAGGAAUCUACAAAGGUAUAAUAUUUCUCAACUCACUUUGUUCUUGAGUUGAGUCUUGGUUCACCAAUCUACUAGGCUUUGAAUUUCAUGGUUAAUGUUUUGUUUUUAAGUGCAUACAAAGCAUGAUUCCGCCUUUUAAUUGUUAAUUGCAUGCUAUAGAUGUUGCUUAAAUGAACAUGUUUUUCACAAAAUUUUCCUUCAAGUGGUAUCAGAGCCUAGGUCUAGUAGUUGGUGAAUCCUUUUGGGUUUUGUAGUUCAUAGUUUGUGAUUUAAAAAGUUGUAAUAUGUUACAAGCUUUAUUCUUGUUUCUUUGAAUGUAAAUUUUGUUAGAAAAAUUUGCCAUCUCAAAUGUUGUAGAUGUAGUUCAUAUGAGCAUGAAUAUUGGAGCUAAAA